AUUGAACGCUGGCGGCAUGCUUUACACAUGCAAGUCGAACGGCAGCGCGGGCUUCGGCCUGGCGGCGAGUGGCGAACGGGUGAGUAAUGCAUCGGAACGUGCCCAGUAGUGGGGGAUAGCCCGGCGAAAGCCGGAUUAAUACCGCAUACGCCCUGGGGGUGAAAGCGGGGGACCGAAAGGCCUCGCGCUAUUGGAGCGCCCGAUGUCGGAUUAGCUAGUUGGUGGGGUAAAGGCUUACCAAGGCGACGAUCCGUAGCUGGUCUGAGAGGACGACCAGCCACACUGGGACUGAGACACGGCCCAGACUCCUACGGGAGGCAGCAGUGGGGAAUUUUGGACAAUGGGGGCAACCCUGAUCCAGCCAUGCCGCGUGCGGGAAGAAGGCCUUCGGGUUGUAAACCGCUUUUGUUCGGGAAGAAAUCCUCUGGGCUAAUACCCCGGGGGGAUGACGGUACCGGAAGAAUAAGCACCGGCUAACUACGUG
rnacentral:rRNA from 1 species